GUUACCGAUCCAACAGUCUGAAGGUAGAAAGUAUCUGCAGUAGUCUGGGUAUGUGCGUACCACAUGUUUGUACAUAAACAGAGGAAGAGCAGCUAGUCUUCCUCUCCUUCACCCCUGUGGAUGUUUCAAUGUACAGAAUUCUUGAAUCAAGAACCCUUCUUCUUCUACCAAUGCCUCUAAAUAGGUCACAAAUACACUGUGCAGAGUCCUUCCCGAAUGCAGAAAGCAGUGGGUCACACUAUGAGUUAAGGUUGAAUUUAUUACGCUUGAUUUUUUUCAGCACCCGAUUUUUUAAAGUCAAAGGUGCAUGUCCCCACUGUGCGCAAGAAUUCGACGCAGUUCAAAGCAGCGCAUCCUCAGGCGGGUGGCGCAUCAGUUUUGACAAUGAUGCACUGUGAGUAGCUAUCCCACAAUUCCUGCACCCCUUUGUAUUCUGGAUUAUGCUCCCAGUACAUGCAAGGACCAACACUGUGCAGUGGGUGGUUCUGGAUACGUUAUCAGCGUCCCAUAAUGCACUCAUCUCCUCCCUUGCCCUCGCUUGAAAGCAAUGGCAAACAGUCACUUCACGCCCUUUUUCCCCCUGGUUAUCCACGCAGAUGCCAUAGCAACGUAAGCAUGGAACCCAUUGUGGAUCCUGUUGAGCAUCAAAGCAUUACAGCAAUCGUAUUAAGUGUGGUGAACCUUAUCCUGGAGUAUAUCCAGGGUCCGCCAGAAUGAGGAAGAAUCUUGGGAGGCGAUGAACAUACCCUUUUGUGAAGCACUUGAGUUGAGUCACUGGCAAAUGCCACCAGCAUUCUAUCCUCUGGACACAGUGGAACACAGUGGAAGCACAGACUGAUGGGACCAUAUAGUUAUGCAGGCAUGGGAUGAUCAGCAGUGGCUGCAAAAUUUCCACAUGCGUAAGGCCACUUCCACAGAAGUUUGAAAAUUGCUUUCCCCUGCCCUGAAGCACAAGGCUACAUACUGAGACCUGCUCUGAGAGUGGAGAAGUGAGUGGCUACUGUCCUAUGGAAGACUGCAAAGCCAGACAGCUACCGCACUUUUCAUCAGUGGAUCUCAUAGCCCUUUAUAAAGAAAAGAACAUUGAAACUCCAUCUGCAACCAAGGACGGUAGAGAAGGAACCAAGGAAGGUUGACUCAUGCAUGUGAUAUGUAAAGAUGUGAACACCAUGAGACACCUAUGGCAUGUGCGUGGUCUAACCAACUACUGCUGGAAAAAUCUGCAAUCUGUGGUGCCAGGACAAUCGAACACCUACAGUGGAGCACCCACAGGGACACAGCUCAAAGAAGAAGUACAGAGGAAAGCUUUCAUAGCUUUUUUAAGCAUGGCACUUAAAAGAAUUCUGGUUAAAAAUUAUUAAGGGCAUGCUAUGGUUCUUGCAGUAUUUCGGAUAAAUUCUAAGUGACCACAUAAGUUCUGAAUGAUGUGUAUAGCCAACCAAUCUAAUAAGCCUACCAAUACCACAUGGCAAUCUGGUUAGUUUCAUACAACAAUAAAGCAUAAAGAUGUCAUUAAUUAGUGUUCUUACUCUAUGGUAUAUUUGAGAGCAUAUCUGUCUGUUCAAUAAUUCCUCCUAAAUGUUAAGAGCUAGGACUACCAAAUUUGGUAUACAGCUUCCUCUUAUUAUAACCUAAAGCAGGUAAGGGUUUGAUUAUGCCAGGAAAAUGGGAUGUGCCUGGAAUGGGAUUGCUUCUCGGAAAAACAUACUGAAGACAGAGAGAAUCACCAGGCAGGUGAAAGGGGCUGCCUAGGGGUGUUUUUCCCAGCCCUGAGCCUCCCGCCCCAGACACGCUUCAGAGAGAUGGAGGGGGGCCUGAAGCAUCUCCCCCCCACACACAUCCGAUUUGCACAGGGAUAUUGCUGGCUGUUCCCCUUUGCCAGAGAGAGGAAAGUGGGGGGCAUGUACUCCUUCCCUGGGCAGACUGCAUACUAAACCCCUUAGCUUCAGCCCCCACCCCAGAGCAAGGAUUUAAAUGAAGUAUGUACAUUUUCAUUUUAUUUUCCAAAAAACAAACAUUUGAGCUGAGGACCCGAGCAACAGUGGGUAAAUCUUCUCGUUUACCUAUAAAUGAAAAAUGAUAGAAAUACUUCUAUUGAAGUGUUCAGGGACACAAGAACUAUCGUAUAGGAAAAGAAUGAGUAGCAAAUUCAGUCAGGUCUCCUCCUCCUGCCAUGCCAGACCAAACCAAAUGACCCAUCGAUGCUAAUGCCUCAGUCAGCGGCCCAUGCAAUAAAUUUCAGAAG